UACGAAGGGGGCUAGCGUUGCUCGGAAUCACUGGGCGUAAAGGGUGCGUAGGCGGGUCUUUAAGUCAGGGGUGAAAUCCUGGAGCUCAACUCCAGAACUGCCUUUGAUACUGGGAAGCUUGAGUCCGGGAGAGGUGAGUGGAACUCCGAGUGUAGAGGUGAAAUGCGUAGAUAUUGGGAGGAACACCAGUGGCGAAGGGCGGCUCACUGGACCGGGUUCUGACGCUGAGGCGCGAAAGCGUGGGGAGCAAACGGGG
rnacentral:rRNA from 1 species